UAGAGUGAAGAAGAACUUGAGUGGAUUGAUAGCUCAUCAUCAUCUCCUCUAGUUUUGACCAACAUCUCUCUAAGUCUUAACUUCAACUUUGAAUCUGCAAAGGGACAACCUUUGAAUUCUCAAAAUGCUACAAUGGUGAUCAAUCCACAAGGGAAGAUAUUAGUUUCUCAGCAGAGCUACCGUUCUCUGGCAUACAGAAGAGAGAAUUUCAAGAGAUUAUGGUGAUUUGAGGUAUGAAGUGUGUCGUUCAUUUUCAAAGUUCAUCCAACUCUCUUUCUUCAAAAAACUGGCUGCUCAUGGAAGACAUUCCAGGAAUCUGGUGUCACUUAAGCAAAUUAAUCAUCCUUUGUGGACAAUGCUGAAAAUGGAAUGAGGUGUGGAGAUAAACUUGGAUGAAUCUUAUUUGGGAUAUGUGGUGUGGCUGCCAAAGCCACCAAACCUUGUUGCGUAUA